rnacentral:tRNA from 1 species
GGAGGGGUCGGAUAGCGGCUUAUUCCACUCGCUUGGAAAGCGGGCAUCUCUCACGAGAUCGAGGGUUCGAAUCCCUCCCUCUCCGCCA